rnacentral:rRNA from 1 species
GAUGAACGCUGGCGGCGUGCCUAAUACAUGCAAGUCGAGCGAACGGACGAGAAGCUUGCUUCUCUGAUGUUAGCGGCGGACGGGUGAGUAACACGUGGAUAACCAACCUUAAAAACUGGGAAAACUUCGGGAAACCGGGGCUAAUACCGGAGGAUAUUUUGAACCGCAUGGUUCAAAAGGGAAAGACGUUUUUGCUGCAACUUAUAGAUGGAUCCGCGCUGCAUUAGCUAGUUGGUAAGGUAACGGCUUACCAAGGCAACGAUGCAUAGCCGACCUGAGAGGGUGAUCGGCCACACUGGAACUGAGACACGGUCCAGACUCCUACGGGAGGCAGCAGUAGGGAAUCUUCCGCAAUGGGCGAAAGCCUGACGGAGCAACGCCGCGUGAGUGAUGAAGGUCUUCGGAUCGUAAAACUCUGUUAUUAGGGAAGAACAUAUGUGUAAGUAACUGUGCACAUCUUGACGGUACCUAAUCAGAAAGCCACGGCUAACUACGUG